rnacentral:tRNA from 1 species
GCCCACGUGGUGGAAUUGGUAGACACGCUACCUUGAGGGGGUAGUGUCCUUCCGGACGUGCUGGUUCGACUCCAGUCGUGGGCACAA